CCCGCUCAGGACGAACGCUGGCGGCGUGCUUAACACAUGCAAGUCGAACGAUGAACCGGUUUCGGCCGGGGAUUAGUGGCGAACGGGUGAGUAACACGUGGGCAAUCUGCCCUGCACUCUGGGACAAGCCCUGGAAACGGGGUCUAAUACCGGAUAUGACCACCGGCCGCAUGGUCUGGUGGUGGAAAGCUCCGGCGGUGCAGGAUGAGCCCGCGGCCUAUCAGCUUGUUGGUGGGGUGAUGGCCUACCAAGGCGACGACGGGUAGCCGGCCUGAGAGGGCGACCGGCCACACUGGGACUGAGACACGGCCCAGACUCCUACGGGAGGCAGCAGUGGGGAAUAUUGCACAAUGGGCGCAAGCCUGAUGCAGCGACGCCGCGUGAGGGAUGACGGCCUUCGGGUUGUAAACCUCUUUCAGCAGGGAAGAAGCGCGAGUGACGGUACCUGCAGAAGAAGCACCGGCUAACUACGUGCCAGCAGCCGCGGUAAUACGUAGGGUGCGAGCGUUGUCCGGAAUUAUUGGGCGUAAAGAGCUCGUAGGCGGCCUGUCGCGUCGGAUGUGAAAGCCCGGGGCUUAACCCCGGGUCUGCAUUCGAUACGGGCAGGCUAGAGUUCGGCAGGGGAGAUUGGAAUUCCUGGUGUAGCGGUGAAAUGCGCAGAUAUCAGGAGGAACACCGGUGGCGAAGGCGGAUCUCUGGGCCGAUACUGACGCUGAGGAGCGUUAAUGCUGGAACCA
rnacentral:rRNA from 1 species